rnacentral:ribozyme from 13 species
AAAUCAAACAAUCAACACCAACAAACAAAAAAGAAGAGAGAAGACCCCUGAAAAUCUUCUCUUUCUUUUUCUUCUUUCUUUUUUCUUUUUCUUCCAAACUUGUUUCUUUUCC